rnacentral:rRNA from 1 species
UGGGGAAUAUUGGGCAAUGGGCGCAAGCCUGACCCAGCAACGCCGCGUGAGGGAAGAAGGUUUUGGAUUGUAAACCUCUGUCGCAAGGGACGAAACAAAUGACGGUACCUUGUGAGGAAGCCCCGGCUAACUACGUGCCAGCAGCCGCGGUAAUACGUAGGGGGCGAGUGUUGUCCGGAAUUACUGGGCGUAAAGGGUGCGUAGGCGGUUGCUUAAGUUGGAUGUGAAAUACCCGGGCUUAACUUGGGGGGUGCAUUCAAAACUGGGCAACUAGAGUUCAGGAGAGGGAAGCGGAAUUCCUAGUGUAGCGGUGAAAUGCGUAGAUAUUAGGAGGAACACCAGUGGCGAAGGCGGCUUUCUGGACUGACACUGACGCUGAGGCACGAAAGCGUGGGGAGCAAACA